rnacentral:rRNA from 1 species
GGCAAAUGCGUUCCUAUCUGCAGUCGAGCGACAGAUAGGAACUUGGUCCUUUGACGUUGCGGGGGACGGGUGAGUAACACGUGGAUAACCUACCUAUGACACUGGGAUAACUUCGGGAAACCGGAGCUAAUACCGGAUAACAUUUUGAACCGCAAGGUUCGAUACUGAAAGACGGCCUUGCUGUCACUUAUAGAUGGAUCCGCGCCGUAUUAGCUAGUUGGUAAGGUAACGGCUUACCAAGGCAACGAUACGUAGCCGACCUGAAAGGGUGAUCGGCCACACUGGAACUGAGACACAGUCCAAACUCCUACGGGAGGGAGCAAUAGGGAAUCUUCCGCAAUGGGCGAAAGCCUGACGGAGCAACGCCUCGUGAGUGAUGAAGGUCUUCGGAUCGUAUAACUCUGUUAUCAGGGAAGAACGAACGUGUAAGUAACUGUGCACGUCUUGACGGUACCUGAUCACAAAGCCACGGCUAACUACGUGCCAGCAGCCGCGGUAAUACGUAGGUGGCAAGCGUUAUCCGGAAUUAUUGGGCGUAAAGCGCGCGUAGGCGGUUUUUUAAGUCUGAUGUGAAAGCCCACGGCUCAACCGUGGAGGGUCAUUGGAAACUGGAAAACUUGAGUGCAGAAGAGGAAAGUGGAAUUCCAUGUGUAGCGGUGAAAUGCGCAGAGAUAUGGAGGAACACCAGUGGCGAAGGCGACUUUCUGGUCUGUAACUGACGCUGAUGUGCGAAAGCGUGGGGAUCAAACAGGAUUAGAUACCCUGGUAGUCCACGCCGUAAACGAUGAGUGCUAAGUGUUAGGGGUUUCCGCCCCUUAGUGCUGCAGCUAACGCAUUAAGCACUCCGCCUGGGGAGUACGACCGCAAGGUUGAAACUCAUAGGAAUUGACGGGGACCCGCACAAGCGGUGGAGCAUGUGGUUUAAUUCGAAGCAACGCGAAGAACCUUACCAGAUCUUGACAUCCUUUGACCGCUCUAGAGAUAGAGUUUUCCCCAUUCCGGGGACAAGUGACAGUGCUGCAUGGUUGUCGUCAGCUCGUGUCGUGAGAUGUUGGGUUAAGUCACCGCAACGACGCACCCUUUAAGCUAGUUGCCAUCAU